rnacentral:rRNA from 1 species
UACGUAGGGUGCGAGCGUUAAUCGGAAUUACUGGGCGUAAAGCGUGCGCAGGCGGUUCGUGAUGUCUGAUGUGAAAGCCCCGAGCUUAACUUGGGAAUUGCGCUUGUGACUGGCGUGCUGGAGUGUGGCAGAGGGAGGUGGAAUUCCACGUGUAGCAGUGAAAUGCGUAGAGAUGUGGAGGAAUACCGAUGGCGAAGGCAGCCCCCUGGGAUAACACUGACGCUCAUGCACGAAAGCGUGGGGAGCAAACAGG